rnacentral:lncRNA from 1 species
AUGAGCAAACAAAGGACGUGUGGACUGCGGCCCCUUGUUAGCCAGGGCUGGAGGCCUCCUCGUGCCUCUUGCUCCGCAGUCCUUCCAGACCAGCAGGAGACGGGGCAGAAGGCUCUGGAGGUUUCGCCCCUGCGAGGACAACAGCCGCAUGGGGAGAAGGUGCCGCUGCCGGCCUCGUCGGCCCUCGGUCCCCGCGGGCCAAGGGUUCUUAGAGGGGGCCCACCGAACGGGCUGGAUCCGCGAGGGCUGCUGAGGGACCCCAGACGACCUCGAGCUUCAUUACAGCCAUCCCUGUGCUAAACAGCGCCUUCCUGGGGCUGUGACGCUUGACAGUUGCCAUGACGACCGUUGGAAAGCCCCCAUAAAAGGAGGGAGAAGAGGCGGAAACCAGAUUCUCAGAUAUUCUGGGCUCAUCCCCAGAAAAGACGCACUCAUCCCUCCCCCUGUGAGCGCACCCUUGUCCUUUAUUAGCCUCUAGCUGGGCGUGGUGGCACACGCGUGUAAUCCCAGCACUCUGGAGGCUGAGGCAGGAGGAUCGUUGAGAGUUCGAGACCAGCCUGGGCUACAAAGUGAGCUCAAGGCCAGCCUGGACUGCGUAGCGAGACCUUGUCUCAGAAAGGCAAAAUAAAUAAAGAAAUAAAUAUCAGUCACUCCCUCAUUCCCUUCAUCCUAA